GCAGCAACAAAAAUGAGAAAAAAGGGCAGAGAGGAAGAAAAGGGGGCAAGGGACGUCUUGUACAAGGGCAGCUGCAACAGCAGCUCCCAUCCCUUCUCUGCAGCUGGGGCAACUUCAAGGCCAUACCCAAGGUACACCUAGAGAGUCAAUCAGCCACCCUAUGACAUCCCAUCCCCUCAGCUACCCACCACCUUCACCAUAUUCGAUUCUUUAAGGCUAUCAGCCCUUUCAUUCAUUCCUUAGUUCAUCAACAACCAAAGGAAUGAGAGACUUCAAUUACUGCUGCCAAACUUUGAACAGCUAUCUCCUCAUUAAACUCAAACAGCGCAACAGACAGCCAAAAGGACAAAACAAUCAAGGUUAAGCGCAAGAGUAAGAGCUAAUCAAUGAGUUACUGAACUGUAGCAAAGCUUCACUAUCAGGUUGAGCAGUGGCUGAUGAAGAUGAAGUGAAGAGCGGAGCUUUUGUCAUAAGUUAAAUGAAUAAACUCUUGGAUACAUGUCUUCAUACAUGUAAUCAGAUUAUGUUUUACCGCUGCGUACUCUUAGGUUUUAUGUCCUUUUAGUUAAGUCGGAUUCAUCUGAACUUACAAGUCUGUUUGAGUCUUUGUGACUAAACAUCAGUUAUAUUAUGAAUUUUCCCUUCUUUAACAA